rnacentral:rRNA from 1 species
GAUGAACGCUGGCGGCGUGCCUAAUACAUGCAAGUCGAGCGAACAGACGAGGAGCUUGCUCCUCUGACGUUAGCGGCGGACGGGUGAGUAACACGUGUAUAACCUACCUAUAAGACUGGUAUAACUUCGGGAAACCGGAGCUAAUACCGGAUAAUAUAUUGAACCGCAUGGUUCAAUAGUGAAAGACGGUUUUGCUGUCACUUAUAGAUGGAUCCGCGCCGCAUUAGCUAGUUGGUAAGGUAACGGCUUACCAAGGCAACGAUGCGUAGCCGACCUGAGAGGGUGAUCGGCCACACUGGAACUGAGACACGGUCCAGACUACUACGGGAGGCAGCAGUAGGGAAUCUUCCGCAAUGGGCGAAAGCUUGACGGAGCAACGCCGCGUGAGUGAUGAAGGUCUUCGGAUCGUAAAACUCUGUUAUUAGGGAAGAACAAAUGUGGAAGUAACUAUGCACGUAUUGACGGUACCUAAUCAGAAAGCCACGGCUAACUACGUG